CAGGAGGAGGAGUAGGUCCUUGCCUCGCUGCGAUGCUGUGGCUCCGAGCGGCAGUCAGCGGCACUCCUCUCUUGGGUUUAGCCUUCGACGUUGGUGCAGAAGCUGGAAGUGUUUCACUUACACAGAAAAGAGACUGAGCAAUCCUGUGACUCAGCAUCGCUACCUUGAUUUUUCAGCUGAUCAAACUAAGGCUCAGAAAGGCGAGUCUGAAUCGCUCAAAGUUCCUUUGGUUGCAAGCAACAGAAACGAACUGAAUCUCACUUCACCUAAAGAGAGAAAGUCGUCGUAAGAUGCAGCGGUCAUUUGGGGAACCCAAGCUCACGUGUGAGCACUGGGCAGCGUCCCAGAAAUGACAAGAACCAGGAGAGGGAGGCAGCAGAGGGCUCGGGGAGUGUUGCUUCUCCUUCUCUCCCCUUGUCUCGACUUGGCUGCUGGGCUGCCUCUGUCUUUUUUCUCUGAAGACUGACUUUCUCAGCUGCUCGGUGCAAAUAGUUGGAGGAAUGGCAGCCUCCCACAGCUUCCAGGUUCACACAUUAUCAUGCCAACCAUAGGAGAGACUGCCCUUCUGCCUCCCUCUCUCUGGAUUGCACAUUAGCACAGCAUGUCCCUUCAGCUCGGAUCUUGGAAUGAAGAAGACACACAGAGCAGAGCUGCAGCCACCCUGCAGUCACCUCCAACAGUGAGAAAUAAACUUUUGAGAACCGACUCGUCUGAGACCCAGUCUUGAGAGCAGGCCAUGCUGUGGCAGGCGUCCCACGUAUAAAGUGGAGCAAGAUGGGCACAGAUGUUAGCUCAGGGCCAGUCUUCCUCAGCAAAAAGAGGAGGAUUGGCAGUAGGUAGCUCAGGGCUGAUCUUCCUCAAAAACAAAAAAACAAAAGAAGGCGGGGAGGAGCAGGGGGCAGUCCCCCGGGGGGAUUCCCAGAUUUCUUUUUUUGCAACCAGGUAAAUGGCUGGACCCUUCACUGGGAGUAGGAAUCUUGGAGGAGCUUAUUUGUGGGGAAUGGUGAUGAGUUUGGUUUUGAACCUGGUGAAUGGAGGUGCGCGGGGGAGAGGUCCAACAGACAGGAGGAAACAGCAGUUUGAAUCUCAGGAAGGAGGUCCAGACAGGACUCACAGGUUGGUGUUCAUCUGCCCACGGAGGUACUCAAAGCUUUGAGAGUCAGGGAAAGCCCAGAAAGAAUGGGAGUCUCAGAGAGGGAAGAGAAUGAAGGUUGAGGCACUCCGCCACUGGAAGGACCCACGGGUGGAGGCGAGCGGAGCAGGACAGGCAGGGGGAAUGGAGGUACGCAGGCUACGAGGGGAAGCAAAGUGUCUCAGCCGCUGGCACCAGAUUCUUCUUGGAAAAGAAAUUGUCUUUUUUUUCUUCUUUCAAAGGCAUCAAUUUUCCUGAACUUCAAACUAGCCCUGCAAGAUAUAAUUCGGGGAGAGCAAACAUAUUUAUCCCCAACUACCAGGGAGGGAACUAAGACCCAGAAGGAUGCGAGCCUUGCCCAGACUUACAAACUUAUUUUUUUAUUUUUAAUUGUGGUUAAACAACCCACAUAGCGUAAAAGUUACUGCCUAAACCAUUUCUAAGUGGACAGUUCAGUAGGGUUAAUUAUAUUCACAUUGCUGUGUAAACAAUCUCGAGAAUCUUUCAUCUUGCAAAACUGAAACUUUGUCUUCAUUAAAUAAGGCCCCUAUAUUUUCCCCUCCCCCCGGGCCCUCGUAACCACCUUUCCGCUUUGUUUCUAGGAAUUUGACUACUCUAGAAAUUUCAUGUAAGUGGGAUGAUACAGUAUUUCUCCCUUUGUGACUGGCUUAUUUCGUUAGCAUAAUGUCCUCAAGGUUCAUCUAUGUUGUAGCACGUGUCAGAAUUUCUUUCCUUUCCUUCAAGCCUCAAUAAUAUUCCGUGGUAUGUGUAUACCAAAUGCUGCUUAUCCAUUCAUCCAUCGGUAGACAUUUGGGUGCUUCCACUUCUUGGCAUCGGGAACAGUGCUGCUAUGAACACGAGUGUGAGAAGCGUGCUUCUGAGGCAUGGAGGACAGAAGGUGAAUCCUGAGGGCACAGGAUGAAGACCACAGGAGGGGUGUCGUCGCUGAUCUCUAUGAGGAAACGAGGGGAGUUUUGCUCCUUAGAGGGUCAGGGAGAGAAGAGCGGAAGAGGGGCCGAGGAGGAAAGGUGGGGAGAAACAAUCCAGUGAGGUGGGCUGGAGUGGGGAGCGCCUGGGGUGAGGGGCCAGGGAGGAAUUCUCAUCGCUGUCUCAUCAAAGAACAGAGACGUCUAGUCUUCUGUAUAAAGCAGCUAAAAUGGUUGUUUCACUCCAUCCUGCCCGCCCUCCCACUCAGCACAUUUUGGGAAAAUCUCCUACACACACACACACACACACACACACACACACACGGACACACACAAGCUCUGCGGGAGUUGCUUUCUGGAGUAGGGAUUAAGAUUCCUUCAGUUUGAUGUGGUACAGAGAAAGCUAGCAAAGGAGGGCAGAACAAGCCAUACACUGUCCUGUGCGGGGAAGGCGGUUGUUCCAGAGUCGCCAGAGGUGGCCCCAAGGGAGCGAGCAGCCUGGGGAUUCACAGACAAUUGGGAAAGGGCCUGGCCUUCCAUCCAACAUGGACGAGCGAUUUGGGCUUCCAGAGAACACCGCCAGGAGCUUGGAGCCCGUCUUACCUGGAUCCGUGCUUCUUAAACUUUCGUGUGCCUAAGAAUCGCCUGAGGGCCCUGAGGAAAUGCAGACUCUGAAUCAGUCGGCCUGCAGCGGGGCCCGCGGCUCUGCAUUUCUGUCGCACGCAAGCUCACAGGUGACAGCGACACUGCUGGUGUGUGCACCAACUGUGGGUCAGAGGGCCCCAGAUCUCAAAGGGAUAGAAAGCUCCUGAUGGCAUCAUUGCACCUCUCUGUCUCUCUCUUGUACGCACACAUGCGCGCACACACACACCAUCUCCUGGUGUUCCUGAGAAAACAGGGAUCUCCUGGAUGAGGCCAUAACAGGGAAAGCCAUCAAGGAGCCACUGCCCCCUUGUUGACCCUUCACCUCAGUCCCUGCUCUGUCCAGCCCAGGAGCGUAGAGGUCACGCCAGGGGACCCUCAGCGGUCCAUUCCGCAUGCUCUGGCCCAAGGCAUUAGAGCAUCCGUCUGCAGGGGGCGAACCAAAGACUCUCCACGGUUGGCCUCAGGACCCCUCUCUCAGAGGGAAGGGGGGCGGAGGAAAAGUUUCCGAUGGUGUUUGUCUUGAGAAAGGCCCCAGGGAGCCAAGCAUGAACUGCGUGCCUGACUGAGAGAGGGCUAUGUGGUCCACUCCCUUGUUUUCCACAGAUGCUGAAGGAGUCCAAGCCAGAGCUCAGGAAAAAUGUUUUCCCGGAUAUCCACCCCUGCCCCAGAGGCGGUGAUGAAGUUGGCAAAGGACAGUCAGGUCAAGUCGGGCUCUGGCAACCUCUUGGAACAUAAGAAUCCACAGAAUCUGAAGGGGAAAUGGAGGCUGGAGAGCACCUACCGUGGAAAGAAGAGAGGAAGAGGAGGCCAUCGCACGGAGCAGGGACCCCCGGGCGGGCCCUGUUCUGGGAGCCUCUGCUACCUGGGUGGUGAGUGGAACCCCUGCUGCCAUCUGGGCAUGUGCUUGUUUGCUGGGGGGGUGGCUUCCCACCUCAGAGGGAGCCCAGCUCUCUCAGGAGCACUUGCUGUGGAGAGACUGUCCUCACUUCGCGCUGGAAUCAGCCUUUCUCAAGCGUCCGUGCUAAGGGCCUUUGUGAUGACGCUGCCCUCGAAGCCACAGCAGGGAGGAUGACCCCGUCUCUGCAAGGCCGCUCACAGCCAACAGCGCAUCCCGCCGGCUGAGCCGCAGGCCACCGGAGGGAAGCAGGUGCCAGCUUUCUUCCCAGGUUUCAGAUAAGCAAGUGAAGGCCUUGAGAAGCUCAAGGAGAGAGGGAAGCUGGGGGAGAGGCUGAGAGCACAGGCUCCAGGUCAGACCAUUGGCUGUGCGUCUGUGGACAAGCUCCUUGACCGUCCUAAGCUUGGGUUUCUUCUCCUGUGAGCUGGGCGUAAUGACAUUACACACUGGAGACGUUUGUGGUGAGGACAAAAUGGAAGUGCUUCACCUUCCGUUCAUGGGGACUUCUCUUCCACUAUUGAGGACAAAGUGGAGAAAAGAGGAGGCUGUCACCCGCCCAAGACCGGGCAGUGGUGGCACCAGAUCUAGAACUCCGACAUUCUGAUGCUAAAGCCAAUACUUCUCCCAUUGCGUUCAAUAUCUUGCCUUCCUGGGCCGGUCAGAGCCUGAAACUGUCCAGCAAUCCCCACAUCGGCAGAGCCUGGCCCUCCCCUCACUGCAUGUGCACAGAGGUGGCCACCACGUGGUGUGGCAGGGCGUCCCUCCCUCCCCUGCCCCCGAAGCCUGAAAUUGCGGUGUUACACUUCCUACCUGGGAGUCAGGCUGCCCUUUCCCCUUCAGCCUCUGUUCACAUACAAACACCCUAGAGAGGUGGGGGACUGGAAGAGCGCCCACCUGCUAAAAGCCUGUCCUGGUCCCCUCACUCCCCAGAGGCCAACACCUGCUCACUCACAACACCUGAGCAAAGCCAUGUCAUUCCCACAUCACAGGUGAAGAGACAGAAGCCCAGAGAGGUUAAGCAUCUUGCCUGGCCACACACAAGCACUAGAUGGGAGGAGGAUUUGAGCGUGGAAUUCUGACUGAGUGCCUGUGCUCCUCGCCUCGAGGACAUAGUCCCCGACUGACACUGCUCCUGUCUCCCGAGAGGAGGGGAAGGUGGUCCCGGCGCAGGACAGUGUAUGGCUUGUUUUGCCUUCCUUCCCUUGCUCACUCUCUCUUGUCUGUUUCAUGUCAACCCAGACGGGAAACUUAAUCCCUUCCUCAGCUGCCAUCACAAAACUACCUGAUUUCAUCCGAUCCUCCCACCAGUGCUGGGAGAGGGGCACCGGCGCCCUCGGCUUUACAGCUGACGAAGCUCCCAGAGGUUCCCUGACUCGCUGAGAGGACAUGGCCGUUAAGUAGGGGCUCGGCCAGCCCCUCCCUCUACACCAGGGCCUCCUAGCUUGCAGGCAGCAUCUCACCCCCCAGGGGGCCUUGAUCAGAUUCUUUUAGGAUGUCACAACAGGCCUUGGGGCUGGGCAGGCUGGAAUGCAGCCCCUGCAGAAGCAAGCCUCAGUCACCAGGGCGGGGAGGACUUUAGGGAGGAAAGGGAGGUGCUGGGGAGGGUUAUCUGACGAAACAGGCGGAGCAUGUUUCCAGAGAGUUCGGGAUGGUGCAGUCAGGCUGUCAGGCUGGGAAUUCCAGCUGUUUUGCAGAGCUAAGUCUGGGUCACUGUGCAUCUGUGGAAUCCAGCCUCCUGACUAUCCAGGUGAGCUAGACGACCCACAGUGGACGGUCCGGAGUAGGCAGGAGUGUCCCAUUGACAGGAGGAGGCCCCAGGGAGACCCCGGAGAGGUGGAAUCUCACAGGGUUAGGAGAGGACUUCUGAGGCCACACCGCCUGGGUUCUCCCCCAGGUCUUCCAUUUACUAGCUAUGUGACCUUGGCCAAGUUACUUUAAUCCUCUGUGUCUCAUGUCCCUCGUCUAGGAUACUAAUAGAGUCUAACUCACAAACUUCCUGUGAAGAUUAACUAAAUGAGAAAGAGAAAAGCCACCUGACGCCUGUGAACUGGCCUAGCCCUACAAGCAAGGCCUCAGGGUCGUUAGUGCUGGCCGGGCUCUGCGGAGAGGCCAUGGUGCUCUCCUGCUGAACAUCAGUAGUCUCAGAAAUGAGGUCAUUCUAUAAUUUUUUCUAAGUAUGUACAAAAACAGGGUCACCGUGAAAAUCACAAGAAUACCAAACAUUCCCCUUUCCCAGCCAACUUGAGGGACUGCUGCCUCCUUACUAAUUACCUCUUUAGCCUCUUUCUAUUCCCCCCUUUCUAGAUAAGAUUCAUUAAGAUAUCCAAUCAGAACUGCCCUUGGGGGCUGGCCCCGUGACCGAGUGGUGAAGUUCGUGCGCUCUGCUUUGGCAGCUCAGGUUUUCCCCGAUUGGGAUCCUCAGCGUGGACAUGGCACCACUCGUCAGGCCAUGCUGAGGCUGUGUCCCACAUGGCACAACCAGAGGGACCUACAACUAGAAGAUGCAACUA